GUCUAACCAAGUUUUCUUCAAUCCUAUGUUCUACAUUCUGGUUUUGAUGCCUUGCUGCCUUCGACAUUAAGGUGGGAAGCUUGGCUGAUUCCACCUCCAGUCAGAAGAUUAAUACAUCUAUGGUUUUAUUUUCCAUGCCAACAGCUUGAUUGAUGAUUCCUAAUGCAUCUCAGAAAUAAUUGUUUCUGGAGGAAUGACCAUGCCACAGGUGAUUACCGCGCUAGGACCUGCCCUUGAUAAGAACCAGGGAAACCAUUUAAAAAGAAUGAUGAUUGUGUGAGCCUUUAAAUAUCGCCAACACAUCAGGUAUUGGCAUCUAGAUGUUUACAACUACUAAAGGAACACCCAUGUCGUAGAUGAUGCUACAUCUGAUGUAUGAUUUGAAGAUUAGAAGCUGGAGCACAAGGAUUGUGUGAUGGAGUAAACAUUGGUUAUAUAUUUUAGGCGGGUCAGAUAUUAAAGUG